rnacentral:lncRNA from 1 species
AGACAUGCAGAAAGGCUGGUUGUCAUUUGCAUAAAAUUUGCAUAUCCCCCAUGACUGUUUGGAAUGUCAAGAGGCCAAAUUAACCAGUGUUCUGUUUUUACCCAGAUUUGCAUCUCAUUUGCAUCCGGCUUGCUUAACGUGGGUUACUUAGCCAAGUGACCCUACGGAACUCCUCGCCGCGCCCGAGAGGCGGCAGUUGGCGAGAUGGGCUAAUUUCAUUAAGAGGGAAUCCGUUCGGCGAAGCUGUGGCCUCUGGUUGUGGCUCGUGGAUAGGGGACGGCUGCACGCAAGCUGCUGCUCGUCAGAGUGUUUUUCUGCAUGCAUAUGCGCCUUGUGUCAUAUUUACUGUAAGGAUGAAAGAUUAGGCGCAGAGGGGGUGGUGUGCAGCAUCCAUCUCACUCAGGAUCUCAGAGUGAGCACAUCCAUCAUCCCAUCUUGGGCACCAGGCUCGCCUGUGUGUGUGUGUGUGUGUGUGUGGGUGGGUGUUCGUGUGGGUGUGGGUGGAACAGUGCGUUUUGUUUAUCAAGUCCGGGCACACAACACCACACGCAAUGGAGGGACAGAAGGAAACACAAUGUGUGUCCUUUGCUGGGCCCAAGGCCCUGUGAGAGAGAGAGAGAGAGAGAGAGAGAGAGAGAGAGAGAGAGAGAGAGAGAGAGAGAGAGAGAGAGAGAGAGAGAGGCGGCUCACAACGUCACCUCAGCUCAGGACAUCGAUAGGGAAGGGAUUAAAGAGCAGGAGAGAAAAUGUACGAGGAUUUCGGCCCGAUGGAAAUCAAUGAGGUGCCCUAUUACAGUGCAAGCCACUUACUCCACGCAGACACACACACACAGACACACACAGACACACACACACACACACACACACACACACACACACACACACAGAGCUCUUAAGCCUCUGUCUGCAUCUGCUACCGAAGGCGUUAAUAUCGUUCCUAAUGAGAGGAGAACAGAUUAAUAAAGCAUACUAUAAAUGAUUACUUCCGCCAUUAGUCCAUC